GACGAACGCUGGCGGCGUGCUUAACACAUGCAAGUCGAACGGAAAGGCCCUGCUUUUGUGGGGUGCUCGAGUGGCGAACGGGUGAGUAACACGUGAGUAACCUGCCCUUGACUUUGGGAUAACUUCAGGAAACUGGGGCUAAUACCGGAUAGGAGCUCCUGCUGCAUGGUGGGGGUUGGAAAGUUUCGGCGGUUGGGGAUGGACUCGCGGCUUAUCAGCUUGUUGGUGGGGGAGUGGCUUACCAAGGCUUGGACGGGUAGCCGGCCUGAGAGGGUGACCGGCCCCAUUGGCCCUGGGAAGCCGCCAGGGCGCAUUCGGGAGGCAGCGGUGGAGAAUUUUGCACGCGGUGCGGAGGCGUGAAGGAGGACCGCCGGGUGCGGGAGGACGGCCUUCGGGUAGGAAACCGCUUUCGCCUGUGACGAAGCGUGAGGGCCGGAAAUGGGGAAAGAGGCACCGGCAAACUACGU
rnacentral:rRNA from 1 species